rnacentral:rRNA from 1 species
GACGAACGCUGGCGGCGUGCCUAAUACAUGCAAGUCGAGCGAAGUUUUUCUGGUGCUUGCACUAGAAAAACUUAGCGGCGAACGGGUGAGUAACACGUAAAGAACCUGCCUCAUAGACUGGGACAACUAUUGGAAACGAUAGCUAAUACCGGAUAACAGCAUUAACUGCAUGGCUGAUGUUUAAAAGUUGGUUUUGCUAACACUAUGAGAUGGCUUUGCGGUGCAUUAGCUAGUUGGUGGGGUAAAGGCCUACCAAGGCGACGAUGCAUAGCCGACCUGAGAGGGUGAUCGGCCACACUGGGACUGAGACACGGCCCAGACUCCUACGGGAGGCAGCAGUAGGGAAUCUUCCGCAAUGGGCGAAAGCCUGACGGAGCAACGCCGCGUGAGUGAAGAAGGAUUUCGGUUCGUAAAGCUCUGUUGUUAGGGAAGAAUGAUUGUGUAGUAACUAUACACAGUAGAGACGGUACCUAACCAGAAAGCCACGGCUAACUACGUGCCAGCAGCCGCGGUAAUACGUAGGUGGCAAGCGUUGUCCGGAAUUAUUGGGCGUAAAGCGCGCGCAGGUGGUUUAAUAAGUCUGAUGUGAAAGCCCACGGCUCAACCGUGGAGGGUCAUUGGAAACUGUUAAACUUGAGUGCAGGAGAGAAAAGUGGAAUUCCUAGUGUAGCGGUGAAAUGCGUAGAGAUUAGGAGGAACACCAGUGGCGAAGGCGGCUUUUUGGCCUGUAACUGACACUGAGGCGCGAAAGCGUGGGGAGCAAACAGG